rnacentral:rRNA from 1 species
ACCCACAGCCACAUCACCUUAAAUCCAGCCAAAAUAUUCAUGAUCAUGAAAACUUAGCAAAGCUGGCCCUGAUUAGUACUUGGAUAGGAGAUUGUAUGGGAAUACAAGGUGCUGUAGUCU